UAAAAAAGUGAAUAAAUUUGAGAUUCAUAAGAAAAAUUAUUUUUUUUAAUACUAGACUAUUUUUUUUAAAAGAAAGUGCAUAAGACUUGUACACUUUAAAAUUGUAUCUAACAUUACUCAUUCUUAUUACUUUUUGAGUAAAAUAUUAUACCCCUACCUUAUAUUACUCACUUUACCCCUUGAUGUGACUUGCCAAAUGACUUAAUAAAAAAACUUAAAAAAUAUAUAUUCAAAACAAAAUGAGACUCAAAAACACAAAAAGAUAAAGAUUAAAAUUUUAGAUUCUCUUAACUCUUUUAUGUUUGUACUUUUUAAUUUUUAAUUUUUUUUAAUAAGCCAUGUGACAUAACAUGUACCAUAUCAAAAAAACAAAAUGAAUAAUAUAAAUUGGACAACAUAAUAGCAUUACUCUUAAUUUUUUCUAUCUAACAUGUUGAUAUCGGGUUUGUAUUCUUCUCAAUUUCCUUUUUAAAUUUAUUUAUUUAAUAAUCUUUAUUUAAAUUUACCACGUUAUAUGUUGUAUGUAUCCGCCUAAUAUCAUGAUAUUAACAAAAAUGUUAAAUGCAAACGAUUGGGGUAAGUAUCGCGUAGUCGGGUUCGACAUGGCUUAAUGAGUUAAUGAAACGGAGUAUAUGCCCAUGAUUACGAAGAGAAAUGCUCACAACUCCACUUUUGCCCAAACACUUUGCCCCUUACGUCUCCCCUCAUCUUCUCCAUCUACCCUAACCUUCCGUCUCAUCUCUCCUCUGAUCUUCUCAAUCAACCCUAACCCUAACCCUUCGAACUCCACAAAGACUUACUUGCUUCCUUCCUCUGAGUUGGAAUGGUGCUUUCUUUGUGUUUUUUUUUUUUUUUCUCUUUUCGCAUACAUCUUCUCUUUCGGAGAUUGAUUUCGCAAGUUCCUCAUCAGUUUUCUCUGUUGCAAGUAUGGGUUCUCCUUCAUCUUUCUCGAUUUCGCAAGUUCCUCCUUGGUUAUCUCUUUCGCAAGUCUGGGUUCUCAUUUGGAUUUGUCGAUUUCACAAGUUCCUCCUCAGUUUUCUCUUUCGCAAGUCUGGGCGCUCUCUACUAUUUUUCAAUUUUGCAAGUUUUGUCUUCAAGAUUUUUUCCCUCCUCGGUAUCUGUUUGCGAAAGUCUAUUCUCCUUCCUCAAGAUCGAUUUCGCAUUGUUUCAUCUGUAGAUCUGGUUCUUCCUCAAAAUCGUCGAAAACCUAACCCUAACUCCCAAAACCUUAACCCUAACCAUAACCAUAAUCCUAACCCUAAAACCCCAACUUCUAGACUUUGGGUUUGGGCACUGAGCGAUUGGCCAAACAACCCACUCAAGCUAGGUUUUUAAUUAUGCAUAAUUGAGAAUGAAUGCAUUUCAAAGUGCCAAACCGAAGUUGAGUUUUAUUUUUUUUUUCUCUUUGGUUUGUUAAUUCCUAGGUUAAUUUCGAUUAUGGUUGGAUUGUUUUGUUUAAGCUCACUUGGAUAGUUUUGAAUAUGUUUAAAUAUGGGGGAAGUGAUAUUAUUUGCAUGACAUUGUCUUUGUUUCUUAAAUUUCUUUGUUCUGUUUAAGCUCA